CCUACGGGAGGCAGCAGUGGGGAAUAUUGCACAAUGGGCGCAAGCCUGAUGCAGCCAUGCCGCGUGUAUGAAGAAGGCCUUCGGGUUGUAAAGUACUUUCAGCGGGGAGGAAGGUGUUGAGGUUAAUAACCUCAGCAAUUGACGUUACCCGCAGAAGAAGCACCGGCUAACUCCGUGCCAGCAGCCGCGGUAAUACGUAUGUCGCAAGCGUUAUCCGGAUUUAUUGGGCGUAAAGCGCACGCAGGCGGUCUGUCAAGUCGGAUGUGAAAUCCCCGGGCUCAACCUGGGAACUGCAUUCGAAACUGGCAGGCUGGAGUCUUGUAGAGGGGGGUAGAAUUCCAGGUGUAGCGGUGAAAUGCGUAGAGAUCUGGAGGAAUACCGGUGGCGAAGGCGGCCCCCUGGACAAAGACUGACGCUCAGGUGC
rnacentral:rRNA from 1 species